CCUUCUUUUUUUUGAGUGGGACCCACAUGUAAGUGACACAUGGAGGCAAGGGUAGAAUGUCCAACAAACGGCCCGUAGACGGUCAACGUCCUUUGACCAGACGGUAACGGCACAAAAGGGCUUUUUUAUAAGGUGAACUAGAGGUGCAGGGGCAAAUUUGAGCAGGGUUUGAAAUUAGGGGCAAAUGCAAAUCUGAGUAGGUGGUUCGAGUUAGGGACAGAAAUGCAAAUGGCCCAUUUUUUAUUACACGAUGAACACUUUUUAAAUAAAUGGUGAAUAUUGUUUUAACAGAGGUCAAAUAUUUUUAAUACAAGAUUAAUAUAUUUUUAAUACACAAUGAAAGUUUUAUAAAUACACGAUGAAUAUUUGUAAAUAUAAAAUGACCAUUUUUAUUACAUGAUGCACAAAUUUCAAUAAAAGAUGAACAUUGUUAAAUAGAUGAUGAACGUUUUGUAAUACAAGCUGAACAUAUUUUAGUAUGCAAUGAAUUUUUUUUGAAUAGAUGAGAACAUUUUUUAAAUACAUCAUGACCAUUUUUUAGCAUGGUGAUCAUUUUAAUAUACAUGAUGGACAUUUUUUAAAUACACCUGGAAGAUCUUUUGACAAAAUGAUAGUUCUUUUUCAGUAUGGUGAACAUUCUUGGAAUACACGAUAAAAUUUUUAAACUUGGUGAACAAACAAAAUAAAAACCAGAUAUAUUGAAGUGAAAAAUGCAUGGAAAUGUAUUUAAAAUAGGUGAUGAUUAUGAAAAUAAAGUAGAAAGGUUAAAAAGGGUAAAAGAAACAAGAAAAUACAGAUGAAUUUUUUUAAAACAAAUUGAGUUUAUGUUAAAAACAACAAAAUGGAAAAAAGAACAGUAAUUUUUUUGAGAAGAAAACCAAACAAACCCUGUUUCCAAAAACAAAACAAAAUCAUAAAAAGUGGACUCCCAAUAAGGGAUAUAUAGCACUAAGCUCGUUGGGUAGGUGGUAUCUCUUUUUUUUUGAGAAUUCGGUGUCUGGUUCUGGUAGAUACAUAUGCACGAUUUGUCGGACUCAUGCUAUGAGAACGUAUCCUAUGCACCGGUUGAACUGGUGCAACGGAUGCACCAGUAGAUUCUGGGCCACUGGAUUCAUAAUAGAUGGAACAGAUUUAUCACAAGAAGGGUUGCAGGUACAUUUUACGUCCUGGACCUUGCAGAAUUGUCGAAAUGCCUGAAUAGUCCUCAACAUAACCUGUCCUCUCCUUCCUUAUCCUGUUCCUCUCCCCAUCCUCUUGACCGACGGCGGCUGGCUGAUGACGCCGGACGAAGAGGGAGAGCAAGACGACGCCCUUCCCCCAGUAACCCUCCAGCCUUUCCCCUCCCAGCCGCGGCCUCCCCAUCGAGGUAGCAGGACGGCGACGCUUGGUGUCUCCUCGAUCUCCCCUGGUCAACGCACUUCCAUGCUCGGCUACUCUACACCCCCAUACCCUCCCUGCUCGAUGCCACCGAGCUCCGGUAGUCCAGCUCAUCAAAUCCGGCGGGCCGCAGGCUGCAGCUCACCAUGUUCCACAGCGUCCAGCUCCAAUCCGAACUAUGAAGAGCUACUACAAGAUGACGAGCCAUCUGAAGAUGAAGCUGGGGUUACCAUCAAUUUAAAGAGCAAAGAAAAAAAAUUAAAACUUCAACCAGAUCAUUUUGUUGACCCUUCGUCUUGAUAUGCAUAUGAAAUCAGAUGAUGUUCCUAUUUUUUCUGGUAUUGUCUGCAUGUUAAUCAGAAUUACAAAUUUCAUUUCAUUAGAUGAUUGUUCACCCGAGCCAUAACAAUUUCAGGUUAGCUGUACUCCUAUUCCUUUUAAAUUUUCUAUAGCAUAUCAGGAUUGCAAGAUGAAGAACAAUCAAUAAGUUCAAGAAAAGCUUGAACCAAUGGCAACAAGUAAGGACAAAUUCUUUUGCAAUCAACACUAACUACUGAUUUUAGGAGUUAUAGUCAUGUUCUGGUACCCAAAAUCUUAACUAGCAUCGUUGAAAUUCUAUUCAACAUAAGUUUUAUUCUUGUCCAACCAGAUCAUUUUGUUGACCUUUUCGUCUUGGAUGUGCAUAUUAAAAUAGACGAGGUUCCUUUUUUUCAGGUAUGAUCUGCAUGUUCUGCUGCAAGUUCAUAUCUGGAAAAAAAUGCUUGUUGUGACGAGCUAGUAUUCUUUCAGGAAGCUGAACAUGCAAGUUCAUAUCUGCAAAAAAAAAAAGCAAGUUCAGCUGCAUCCACUUUGUCUCUUUCAGGAAGCCAAGAUGUCUUGUACAUAUGAUCAUGGGAGCUGCACGGUGCUCAACCUAUUGGCAUACAAAAGCAUCCCUUGAUUCACGUUAUUUGUGGAUGAUGCCCUUGUGGAGUGAUCUGGAGCUAUGGACACCUUCCCUAAAGCUUGAAACAUGUAUUUUCUGUUUAGAUUUUGUACGGUACUGGAAUGUUUGGAGCUUCAGUUUUCUACUUUGUUUUUGCUUUUCUGAACUGCCAUAGGCAGAUGUCGGUGAGCAGAUAUGUAACUGGCUGCGAUCUGGUUCCAUUUUAAUUAAAUGAUGCCGGGGGUUCCACCCUAUUUUUUGAA